rnacentral:rRNA from 1 species
AUGAUUGCUCUUAUCGGUAAGGCUCCUACCGAGGCUGAUGUAGAGGAGGGAGAAGAGCCGAAGAAGAAGGAAAGGAAAGCAGCCGGAGCUGCUUUAACGUGGAUUCAAGCAAACUUUGCGCAUUGCCCUGCGGAUGCCACUGAUGAUGUGAGACAGACACAUGCUCGUGUCUAUAUGUGGUACGUUGUCUCGAGGACUUUGUUUCCUGACUCCACGGGCAAGAACGCUCCAUGGAUGUGGCUGAAGGCGUUGACCGUCUUCGAUAGCAAAUGGAGCUGGGGUUCAGCGACUCUUGCGUACUUGUACCGACAGGUAGUUGGUUUGUUUUGUUAUCAACUCAUUUGUUCAUUAGCAAUGCAACCUUGCUGUCAACUUAACAUUGUUUUUCUUUCAUAUGCAGCUGGACGAUGCGUGUUGCAGGAUCACAGAUAG